rnacentral:rRNA from 1 species
UACGUAGGGUGCAUAGCUGUCGUCGAAUUAUUGGCGUAAAGAGCUCGUAGGCGGUCUGUUGCGUCGGCUGUGAAAACCCGGGGCUCAACCCCGGGCCUGCAGCCGAUACGGGCAGACUAGAGUUCGGCAGGGGAGACUGGAAUUCCUGGUGUAGCGGUGAAAUGCGCAGAUAUCAGGAGGAACACCGGUGGCGAAGGCGGGUCUCUGGGCCGAUACUGACGCUGAGGAGCGAAAGCGUGGGGAGCGAACAGG